UACGUAGGUGGCAAGCGUUGUCCGGAUUUAUUGGGGUUUAAAGGGUGCGUAGGCGGCUUUGUAAGUCAGUGGUGAAAUAUGGCAGCUCAACUGUCAAGGUGCCAUUGAUACUGCGGAGCUUGAGUACAGAUGAGGUAGGCGGAAUUGACGGUGUAGCGGUGAAAUGCUUAGAUAUCGUCAAGAACACCUAUAGCGAAGGCAGCUUACUAGGCUGUAACUGACGCUGAGGCACGAAAGUGUGGGGAUCAAACAGG
rnacentral:rRNA from 1 species